rnacentral:rRNA from 1 species
AUGGCUUCCAGCUCUAGCUGUAGGACAUGGCAUUGCUUGCUUGCUCUCUUCCUCCUCUCCUCGGCGGCCUACGGCCAGCUCUCGCCGUCAUUCUAUGCGAAGUCCUGCCAGAAGCUGGAACUCAUCGUGCGCUCCACAAUGACCAAGGCACUCCUCGCCGAGCGCCGAGUGGGGGCCUCCCUCCUCAGGCUCUACUUCCAUGACUGUUUUGUUCAAGGCUGUGACGGGUCCAUUCUCUUGGAUGACGUGGGUAGCUUCGUGGGCGAGAAGACCGCCCUUCCCAACGGGAAUACUGUGCGGGGCUAUGAGGUGAUCGACGAGAUCAAGAAGAACGUGGAGCUGGUCUGCCCUGGCGUCGUCUCCUGCGCCGACAUCACGGCCCUCGCCGCACGGGACGGCGUCUUUCUGGCGGGCCCAGCUGGAAGGUGCCGCUCGGCCAACCUGAAUGAGGCGAACAGCAACCUCUCGGUGACCAGCUUAAGCCUCGAUGUGCUCAUCGCCAUGUUUGCCAAGAAGAACCUGAGCCCGCACGACCUGACGGUGCUGUUGGGCGCGCACACCAUUGGCUUCUCGCACUGCGUCAACUUUCGCGACCACAUCUACAACGGCACCGACAUCGACCCGGCGUUCGCCAUGCUGCGCAAGCGCUCCUGCCCCGCCCAGGCCCCUGACGGCGACGGCAACCUGGCACCGUUAGACGUGCAAACGCCGCUCGUAUUCGACAACACCUACUAUCACAACCUGGUAGCCAAGCGCGGCCUGCUGAGCGCCGACCAGUUGCUCUUCAACGGCGGCUCCCAGGACGCGCUGGUGCGCCAGUACGCCGCCAACCCGAAGCUCUUCGAGUCCGACUUCGUGACGGCCAUGAUCAAGAUGGGGAGCCUCACCCCGCCCAGCGGAACCCCCACCCAGAUCAGACGCCACUGCAGGGUCGUCAACAGCUAG